UAAUAAAUUUAUUUUUAUUUAUUUAUCCCGAAAGUUAAGGGGCUAAGAGCUUAUUAAUUUUAAUGUGAAAUAAUUAUUUACAAUAAGUUCUUUGGAAUUAUAUGUUAGUCGAAUUAAUUUUUACCUGGUUUUCAAAGAAAUUAAUUUAAUUAAGUCUUAUUCAAUGAAAUUUUCUUUGUUCUAAGAAAAUUUGGGUUUAAGUUUAAUUUUCAAGGGGAUUAGCUCUUGAAAAUAUUUCUAUAAUCAAUUGUUAUUUCAUUAUUUAUAGGAUUAGUAGUGUCCAUUAUUAAAAGUGUAUUACAACUUUUUUUGAAUUUAUUUGAUUUUGUUUGUAUUUAGUUAUUUAUUUGGAAAUGAGUUUAACUUUUUGAAACUCAGCUACAAUGAUUAAAUUAGUAUAUAUUUGUUUGUAUAAUUAAAUUGCCUGUUUUAGGUAAUUUUAAGGAACUCGGCAAAUUACCUCUUGCCUGUUUAAUAAAAACAUGUCCUUUAGAGUUUAUUUGAGGUCGGGCCUGCCCAAUGAUUGUUUUAAUGGCCGCGGUAUUUUGACCGUGCAAAGGUAGCAUAAUCAUUAGUUUUUUAAUUGAAAGCUUGCAUGAAUGGUUUGACAAGGAGGGGACUGUCUCUGGAUUAUUUAAUUAGAACUUUAUUUUUUAGUUAGAAAGCUAAAAUAAAAUUAAGGGACGAGAAGACCCUAUAGAAUUUUAUAGUUGGUAAGUUUGGUUUCUUUUAGAAUUUUUAUGCUAAACUUAAUUAAUUAUUUUGUUGGGGUGACAGAAAAACUUGGUUAGCUUUUUCUUCGAUUAAAUCAUUAAUUUAUGGUUAAUUGAUCCGGAUAUUUCGAUUAAAAGACUUAAUUACCUUAGGGAUAACAGCGUUAUUAAGUUGGAGAGUUCUUAUCGAUAACUUAGUUUGCGACCUCGAUGUUGGAUUAAAAUUUACUUUAGGUGUAGAAGCUUAUUAGUUGGGUCUGUUCGACCUUUAAAAUUUU
rnacentral:rRNA from 1 species